rnacentral:lncRNA from 1 species
UGCUCUGACAGGCUAUGAUGUGAGGCGCUUCAAUGUCCCCCGCGGGCAGCGCCCUCUGGUGGCAUGGUCGAGAACCGGACUCUCCUGUUGUCUCCUUUGCCUAAGUAGCAGAAGAAGCAUGUAGAGGUGACAGGAACAAGAACGUUCAGUGGAGAAUAGAGGCUAGGCUAUAAGAUAUCCACACCGACGAUGAAUGAAGUCAUAAAGUGAUCACCCU